AUGUACAUUCCUAUAGAAUAGUGCUAAUGCAUGAGAUCCCAUUAGAACUUUGUAGCUAAGAACGCUCAGGAUAGAGUAGUAUUAGGAUGGGUGACCUCUUGGGAAUUCUUAGUGUUUUACAUU
rnacentral:rRNA from 1 species